rnacentral:rRNA from 1 species
AACGAACGCUGGCGGCAGGCUUAACACAUGCAAGUCGAGCGAUGAAGCUUCUUCGGAAGUGGAUUAGCGGCGGACGGGUGAGUAACACGUGGGUAACCUGCCUCAUAGAGGGGAAUAGCCUUCCGAAAGGAAGAUUAAUACCGCAUAAGAUUGUAAUAUCGCAUGAUAUAGCAAUUAAAGGAGUAAUCCGCUAUGAGAUGGACCCGCGUCGCAUUAGCUAGUUGGUGAGGUAACGGCUCACCAAGGCGACGAUGCGUAGCCGACCUGAGAGGGUGAUCGGCCACAUUGGGACUGAGACACGGCCCAGACUCCUACGGGAGGCAGCAGUGGGGAAUAUUGCACAAUGGGGGAAACCCUGAUGCAGCAACGCCGCGUGAGUGAUGACGGUCUUCGGAUUGUAAAGCUCUGUCUUUAGGGACGAUAAUGACGGUACCUAAGGAGGAAGCCACGGCUAACUACGUGCCAGCCGCCGCUGUAACAC